GACGAACGCUGGCGGCGUGCUUAACACAUGCAAGUCGAACGCUGAAGCUCAGCUUUUGUUGGGUGGAUGAGCGGCGAACGGGUGAGUAACACGUGAGUAACCUGCCUCCUUCUUUGGGAUAACGCCCGGAAACGGGUGCUAAUACUGGAUAUUCACUGGUCUUCGCAUGGGGGUUGGUGGAAAGGGUUUUUCUGGUGGGGGAUGGGCUCGCGGCCUAUCAGCUUGUUGGUGGGGUGAUGGCCUACCAAGGCUUUGACGGGUAGCCGGCCUGAGAGGGUGACCGGUCACAUUGGGACUGAGAUACGGCCCAGACUCCUACGGGAGGCAGCAGUGGGGAAUAAUGCACAAUGGGCGCAAGCCUGAUGCAGCGACGCCGCGUGAGGGAUGGAGGCCUUCGGGUUGUGAACCUCUUUCGCUCAUGGUCAAGCCGCAACAAUGGUUGUGGUGAGGGUAGUGGGUAAAGAAGCGCCGGCUAACUACGUG
rnacentral:rRNA from 1 species